CCGAGGUUAAUACCGGAUACUCCAUAUCCAUCGCAUGAUAGAUAUGGGAAAGGCUCCGGCGGCAAAGGAUGGGCCCGCGGCCUGUUAGCUAGUUGGUGGGGUAGUGGCCUACCAAGGCAAUGAUGGGUAGCCGGGUUGAGAGACCGACCGGCCAGAUUGGGACUGAGACACGGCCCAGACUCCUACGGGAGGCAGCAGGG
rnacentral:rRNA from 1 species